rnacentral:rRNA from 1 species
AGACAGGGAGACAGGUGGUGCAUGGUUGUCGUCAGCUCGUGUCGUGAGAUGUUGGGUUAAGUCCCGCAACGAGCGCAACCCCUACGUUUAGUUGCUAACGCGUGAAGGCGAGCACUCUAGACGAACUGCCGUUGACAAAACGGAGGAAGGUGGGGAUGACGUCAAAUCAUCAUGCCCCUUAUGUUCUGGGCUACACACGUGCUACAAUGGCCGGUACAGACGGACGCAAAGCCGCGAGGCGGAGCAAAUCCGAAAAAGCCGGUCUCAGUUCGGAUUGCAGGCUGCAAUUCGCCUGCAUGAAGUCGGAAUCGCUAGUAAUCGCAGGUCAGCAUACUGCGGUGAAUACGUUCCCGGGCCUU